GUGACCUCAAAUCAGUA
rnacentral:rRNA from 1 species